UGGCUACGAAAAGAGUUUUAAUUUUAAAAAGAGACCGCUGAGUUUGCGGUCUCAGGCGACAGGCACAUUACGGAGAGAAACUAUGUUUGAA
rnacentral:ncRNA from 2 species